GCCCAGCUGGUGGAAUUGGUAGACACGCUAUCUUGAGGGGGUAGUGCCAAUAGGCGUGCGGGUUCAAGUCCCGCGCUGGGCACCA
rnacentral:tRNA from 1 species